GUUCCCGAGCGGUCAAAGGGAGCAGACUGUAAAUCUGCCGCUAUUAGCUUCGAAGGUUCGAAACCUUCCCCGUCCA
rnacentral:tRNA from 1 species